GAUAAAUUAUUGACCUAAUGUACAAUUUUAAAGAAAGAAGUGAAGACCUUUUUCUGUCUCCUUACACUUUGCAAACAAACUCAACUUAAGCCAAAUUGAGAUAAAACAAACAACCAAUCAAAAAAUAGGACACAGUUACAGAUGUUUGUAAGCCAAAAAAAAAAGAAAAGGAAACUGACAUUUACUCUACUGACAUGGAGAUUAUGUUUCCCCUUUUAUCCAGCCGUUAGUCUGCAAGAUUUCUUAAGAAUUCACUUUACAAAGAGUUCUAUUUUCUCAACAUGUUAGGCCUCAGGUUAUGUCCUUUUUCUUGUGUAAGACACUUGCUUUUUAUAACCAAUCCUUUUUGUAAGUCCUUCCCAGAAGCCUAAACAGAUCUAAUCUGUUUUUCUUCAAAUGCAUUGAUUUCUUUCUUAUUUUGGAGAUUAUCUGACCACCCCUUUUAAUUAAAAUAAGUAUUCUUUUUCUUCCUUAGAGAUGACUCUUUUUGAGAUCAGAUGUUAUCUUUUGUACCUGACUGGCCAAUUAACAACUGCUUCAAUAAGAGUAAUCCUUAUCUCCCUAUUCUGUCUUUGGUUUAUUACCUUGGAACUUAUUAAUGUGUCUGCUCAGCUUCCAAAUUCAAAAUGGUUUGUAUGUACCCUAUUUGGACUCCACCCAUGUGAGAUAAAGCUCAUCUGAAUCUUCCUGAGUGUGUGUAUGUACCAACCAACAGCCCAGAAAGAUCUAGUGGAACUAGAGGGAUCUCUGGAGAACAUGAGACAGCUUCUACAAGGAUUGUCUUCAAGAAAUUAACUACUUAUGGCUUGGAUGGAUGGACUGUUCACUACAUAAAAACUGGAUGGCUGGGCUCAAAGAGUGGAGGUCAAUGGAUCAAAUCCUGUUUGCAGAUGGUCACUAGUGGAGUUUCUCAGCUGAUGGUGAGACUUGCAGCACCAGGCUGCAAGUAGAGCCCCAGGCACAUUUCAGGCUGAAAUGAACGACAGACAGAACACAAGAAUUAUGGAACCAGACAACUUUACCUUCACUUUUCAGAACAUGAGUGUAAACAAGCAUUGGACUGUGCUGCUGAGAAAGGCUGUGAAGUUUCCAGCCUUGUGACUAUUCAGAACUUGACUGGACCUGAGCAACCUGCUUUAAGUGGACCCAUUCGAGCAGGGGAUUGAACUAGAUGACCUACUGAGGUCUUCUUCAAUUAACAUAAUUCUGUGAUUUUAUUAAUUUAAUCACAUGAAGGCUUAAUUUUCACUCUCAAAUAUUAAUGAACUUCCUGCAGUCAUUCAUUCUCAUGUCAGUGUUACUUGUGCACACAAUGCUUUUCCUUUUCUGGUGUUUAGUCCCCAUUAUAAAUAAAAAUAUUAUAUAUAUAGAUUUCAGCAUUAGCAUAAUGAAUCACAGCAUAUAUUUUCUGUGAUAACAGGUUUUUAAAAAGGUGCUUUUUGUUUUUUAAGGUAUUAUUAAUUUUGACUUUUUUCUAAUGCCUUUUUCCCCUCAAUAUUUUUCUUUUAAAAACACUCUGCUAAUCACUUUCAGUCACUGUUAUUUGACUCACCAUCUAGUCUAAAAUGAAUACAAUAUAAAUGUAAGUAUACAUCAUUCAAAUGUAAAUUGAAACUUGAUGAUAUUUUCUAUUCUCAUCUAAUUUUGUGCAUCAUUAUCCACUUAGCCAUCUAGCGUGUGCAUAAAUAAGAUUUGAAUAUGCCAAUUUUUUCUAAAACAUAUAUUGAACUAUAUUACACAUUUUGGGAGCAUGACUUUGAAUCAACAGCUGGCUCAAAUACUUUUUUAGGGUGUAAGAACACCCACAUUCUGGCAUAUUAGGUCAGUUCUCAAAUGAAUAUCUAUCUAAUGAUCAGGCAUGAUUUGAUCCACAAAUCAAAAUGAUGAGCUAGAAGAAAAUUCUUUCAAUACUGAACCCUGCCCUACCAAAGUGAAAGGCAGCUGGUCUUGUUUCCCAAGCUGAUUAUAACUGUAGACAUUAUAACUGUAAGGCAACAAACUCUCUUAUUCAACAGAAAAAAAGUAAGACUUCUUUUCACUGCAGCUUUUGUAAUUAGAUUUUAUAAUCUUAGUAAGUUCUACUGUCUUAUGCUGUUGUUCCUAGCUAGAUUGUACCACCAGAUAGUGCAAAAUUGUGCCAAAUCUUUUCACUGGAACUGACAUUGAACUAACUCCCUACUUAAUAC